GAAAUCCGUCGACUUUAGAAAUCGUGAGGGUUCAAGUCCCUCUAUCCCC
rnacentral:tRNA from 1 species